rnacentral:sRNA from 1 species
GAAGAAGAGAGUGAAG